rnacentral:rRNA from 1 species
UACGAAGGGGCUAGCGUUGCUCGGAAUCACUGGGCGUAAAGGGUGCGUAGGCGGGUCUUUAAGUCAGGGGUGAAAUCCUGGAGUCAACUCCAGAACUGCCUUUGAUACUGAAGAUCUUGAGUUCGGGAGAGGUGAGUGGAACUGCGAGUGUAGAGGUGAAAUUCGUAGAUAUUCGCAAGAACACCAGUGGCGAAGGCGGACUCACUGGCCCGAGUACUGACGCUGAUGCACGAAAGCGUGGGGAGCAAAACAGG